CUACGGGAGGCAGCAGUGGGGAAUAUUGCGCAAUGGGCGAAAGCCUGACGCAGCGACGCCGCGUGAGGGAUGAAGGGUUUUCGGAUCGUAAACCUCUGUCAGAAGGGAAGAAACUACGUUGUGCUAAUCAGCAGCGUACUGACGGUACCUUCAAAGGAAGCACCGGCUAACUCCGUGCCAGCAGCCGCGGUAA
rnacentral:rRNA from 1 species